rnacentral:lncRNA from 1 species
UUUUUUUUUUUUUUUGCGAGGAGCUAGCUAGUCUCCCCUGAUCGAUGUCGUCAUCUAUAUGUGGAGCCAAGCUAUCCUGUGAUUAAAAACAUACAAGUAUUCAUUUCCUGGGUACAAGCAAGUGGUUAUGUCUCAUUUACAUUGGCAAUCAUGUACACAAGUAUCCGGAAGAAGCAGCAGCAGCAGCAGCAAGGAGGGACUUUUGGCACAUGGUGGUUCCCUGGAAGCAGAGGAUGGUGUGGUCGGCGACCUCCAGCUUGUCGGAGUGCGUCAUGGCCCUGAAGCCCAUGGAUCCCGUCCACAUCCUCAGGAGCUCAGGCACCGCAGGCAGCACCAGCCUGUGGACGCCCAGGUCUCGGGCCAGCAUCUUCUCCAGCUCCGUCAUGAGCAGCCGGAGCAUCCCCUGGCGGCGGUGCGCGAAGCGAGUCCCCACCAGCGGCAGCUCCGCCACCUUGUUCCCGUACACCCGGAGCGUGGCCACGGUCACGAGCUCGCCGCCCUUCUCCAGGCCCACCACGUAGUAUCCCCGGAACUGCAGGCGCCGCAGCUCCGACUCCCGGUUGAAGACCACGUCGGCGCUGAGGUCGCUCUGCGUGCGGGGCUCCACCAGGGGCACGAAGCAUUCGUGGAGCACGUCCAACGCCGCGCGAAGCUUCCCGUGCUCCAUGGCCAUGGCUUCCUCUGAGGAUACGCCUUGUUGGUCGUCGGAUCGUCGUCGCAGGAUGGCCAGCGACACGCCCUCAGCUGAGGUCGGGAUCGAGGUGCCCGCGAGGCCCUGCAGAUACCGGAAAACCCUCUCGCACCCGGGGCUGCAGAGCCACGGCCCUUGCUGCAGUUGGAGGCCCCCUUCCACGCAGCCGACAUGGUACUCAUGCUCGCAUUGCUCGCAGUAUAUGAUGGUCUUGUCCGUCAAUGGCCGCCGGGUCGUGUCGUCAGGAUCAGCAGGGUCGAAGUCGCUGCCACCGCAGGCGGCGCACCUGCAGCACGGGCAGAACCACUCUUCUUCUUCUUCUGGAGAAGCAGAAGCCGCCGGCAGGCCGAGGCAGUCGUGAUGGAACGCCGACGGGCAGUGGUCGCAGAGCAGCAGCUCGCCGCCGUCGUUGCAGAUGGAGCACACCGAGUCGCCGCCGGGGUCCAGGCAUGCCUCCUUGAGCCUCACCACUCGUCGCAUGCCUUUGUUAUUCCUGUCGUUGUUGCGCCUCAUGAGCUCCACGAGGCACUGCGACAGCGACCUGCCGUCCUUGAGGAACAGCCGCGCCCAGGGGCGGCCGGCCGUGCGCCUCCCCCGCGUGGCGUGCGCCUCGAACUCCGCGACCGUGAAGGCCUUGCCGCAGCACGUGCAUCGGAUCACCCCGUCGCCGGUGAUCAGCCCGACCUUGCUGCUUGUUGCCGCCGCCGCACUGUACGUCACCUUGUCCCUCGGCACCAGGAUGCCCUCGUCGAUCAGCACCGACAGCAGCGUCCUCGCGCGGCGCGGGCACGUCGCCGCCGCCGCCUCGCAGCUGGGCCGCAGCACGCGCGACGAUCCGGCGGCUUUCUUCUUCUUCCUCUUGCUGCUGACGGUGGUGGUGGUGGUGGUGCAUCGCUUGAUCAGGCAGCUGCCAUCGGCGGCACCCUCUACUGCUUGGCAUGUUUUCUUCUUCUGGAUGGUGGUGCAUUUCUUGAUCACGGGGCCGCCGCCGCCGCUGCCACAACCAGAACUGAUUCGUAGUAGCUCGGAUAUUUUCCUCUUCUUCCUGUUGCCGGUGGUUGGGGCGGUGGUGGAUUCCGAUGAAGUGGAGGUGAAGGCCUGGCAGGCGGUGUGGAGGGAGGGGUAGGAGCGGCCGGUGGGCGCCUUGUAGCGCAGCUCCUCCCGGCCGUCGCUCUUGAGCUUCAUCCAGAAGCUCCACCCGGACGCCUGGAGCUGCCUCUUGGCGCUAGCGCGCAGCCGGUCCGCCGUGGGGCCCGUGGCCCGGUGAUUGGACGCCAUGAGGGCCACGUACUCGGCAAUGGCGUUGGCGUCCUCCUGCUGCGUUGGCGUUGGCGCCGGAUCGUCGUCGUCGUCGUUAUAAAUCUUGUUGGUUUCUGGUGGUGGAGGUGGAGGAUGCUGGUCAUCAAGAAGGGACCGGGUGGCCCCCGCGGCGACGAUGAGGUCCGGGAGGGAGCAGUAGGUCUUGCCGUCGUGGGAUUCGUAGCGGAGCCUGGGCGCCAUGGCGGCGUUGCGCCUGGACACGAUCGUCCACCCGAGCGCCACCAGGUGCUUCCUGACCUUGGUCCUGAGGGCCUCGUUUCUGCUGCGUAGGCGGGACGAGAGCUGCCGGCGCCCGCGCUCCGAGAUGAGCAGCGCGGCCACCUCCGGCGAGAACUCGGCGUCCAGCGCCACCGGCUGCCACGCCGCCGCCGUCGUCAUGGUGGUCAUCUGCCAAUGUGUCAACCUCCUAGGUUUGCAUUGCAUACAAGUAGUAGUAGAUUGUAGAUUUAUAGAUGUCGCCGUGGUGCAGGCAGGCGGAGUUGGAGUUCGGCUCGGAUCUCAUCCACCAGGCGUCGGAGUCGGAGAGGGAAGGUGAAGAUGGAGUCCGAUGCGGUUGCGGCAAUCUCCAAGGAUGACGACGGAUCAUUCAUUCAUUAUGGGCUUCUUAGUUGUGGCCUAGGCCUCCUGGGCCGUGGGCCGUGGGCCUGUUUCUACCUACCUACCCCUCCGUCCGGCCCGCUCACCUAAACCAUCUUCUUUCUUCGUCUUCCACGCCACCGUCGGAGGGACGGCAACAAAUCAGUCAGUCCGACGCGACGACCUCGCCGUCGCCGCCCGCCCGGCGAUGUUCGCCAAGCGCCUCUUCCACAAGGCACUCCAGCACCAUCACCAGGUCAGCUCUCCUGCCCUGUUCCCCUCUUCGUCUCCCUCGCUCGCUCAGCUCUGAUUGCGGACCCGGUCCAUGCUUACCGUGGCGGCUUCACCUUCUGCUUCUGAUUCCCGUUCUACUCUAUGCGUGCCCUUGCUGCAGGGAGCUGCUGGGGACGUGCCCCAAAUGGACGCGCAGAUCGCGCUUCACUACGGGGUGCCCUACACAGCCUCGCUGCUCGCCUUCGAUCCAGUCCAGCGCCUCCUCGCCGUCGGAACGCUGUCAGCCUCGCCUCCUAAUCACUUUCAUCUGUAUCGCAGCUACCUAUGCUUGCUUCAUAACAAAACAACCGUGUGCCUUGCGCUGUCACUGAAAUAAUUAGAGCUUCACUAAUUUCUGUCUUUCUUCAUGCAUGCUACCUAUAGUAUAGCAUAUAUAAAAAUGCACUUUACAUAACCAUGGAAACAAGCUGUUCAUUCAGUUUCUCUUGUUGUAUAUGUCUCAAAAAAAAGACUUGGCCCUGAUUUCAAUUCAGUAACAAAGCUGAUGUUAAUUGUAUGAAAUGAGAUAUCUUCGUCACAAGUUUAACCCUGUCUCUUGUCGAGUAGAUGCUCAUAGCCUUUCUGCACUUCAAUCAAACUGUAGGGAUGGUAGGAUAAAAAUAUUUGGGGGUGAUAGUAUUGAAGGCCUGCUUAUAUCACCAAAGAGUGUGCCGUACAAGUUUUUGCAGGUUUGCCUCCUCUUGACUAAAAUAUCUUCUCUUCACAACCAUUACCAUGUCCAACUUGCACUUUUUCCUUGAACCAACUAAUGGGUUGCUUCUUUACAGUUUAUAAUAAACCAGGGGCUUCUGGUUGCAAUUUCCAAUGAAAAUGAAAUUCAGGUGAGCCACUGACAGAUGAAGUUUUUUCUGUAUUCAAACUCUUCUUUCUUUUUGGAGUUUUAUUCCUACUUUGGGUAUCGCUGGAGUUCAUAUAUGUAAAUAUGUUAACAUCGGCUGUGGGCUGCUCAUGUGUUGGUUCAUACUCCAACUUUCUUCAUUACAUGUACUUUGAAUAUGACCUGCCAAAAAUAAACCCCUAGACCAACCUAGGAGGAACUAGGUGGCUUUGAUAUUAAGAAGAAGAAAUGGGCACUUUAAGUUGAGUUGAAGAGGACUCGCAUAUAGCCUCCCACCAACUGAACUACCUUGAAUACAAUCUGUCAACAUUCUUGUAUAGCCUCGUCAUUUUGUAAUGCCAAGGACACAUCUACUAUUAGUCUUAAAUAUCAUGGGAAGAGAUUGAGUUAAGCUCUGAUAAUGGAUGGUUUAGGGGGAGAAUAGCUCAUAAGGAAAGUAUCUUCCAAUAUAGUGCUGAAUCAUGUAAACUACAAAUAUUGUAAAGCCAUAUGGCACUUUUGUCUCAAUCACCAUACACGAAAAGGAACUCUGCACAAGAGCAUCGCAAGAAACUCUUGAGAGAGAAAAAGUACUUUUCCCUAUUAUAUAGUGUAACACCUAUAUCUGAACUCUCUUUUACUCCUUGCGUUGUUUAUCUAAUAAGAGUGUCGGCUGUUCUCUACCCUGAAAUUUGCAAGCAUGAUAUCUAGCGCUGUUAGUGACUGUUGCAUAUGAUACAUGCCUGUCUUGUAGGUAUGGAAUCUUGAGUUCAGGCAACUGUUUUGUUCAUCCCAGUGGGAUGUCAACAUUACUGCUUUUGCAGUCAUAGAGGGGUCCUUUCUGAUGUAAGCUAUUGACACGGCUACUCAUUUUUUCCACAUUCUAAAAAUUUACUUAGUUUGGCUUUGCAAUUUCUGUUUGCAGAAACUCAUAACUCUUCUUUUGUAUUCAAAAUUUGCCUUAAGGUACCUUGGAGAUGAGAAUGGUCUUCUUUCUGUAUUGAAGUAUGAGGUAGAUGAUGGGAAGGUUCAAAGAAUGCCAUACAAUGUUCCUAUCCAAUCUUUAGCCGGUACACCUUUACAUCUUCCUCGCCAAAUCUUAACUGCAACUAGAACGUUUCUUCCAAUGGCCUCUAUUGGUGUACAAAAUAUCCUUCCAUAUAUGGUGGACAAAACUCCAACUCUGAGCAAAGAUGAUUAUAGUCAAUCCACAAAAAUAUAAGAUGUUAGGCACAACUGCAUAAGUAAAUGACUUGAGUCAGUACAAAUUUUGGUGAAAUUGAGUGUGAUCAUUAAUAUAUACUGCUUACCCAUUGAGGUUCAAAGUUAAAUAUUCCAUGGUCCAUUUUUUUCCCCACAGAAACAGCUGGUGUUUGCUUACAGGAUCCUCAACCUAUUGUUGGAAUACUGAUCCAACCUGAAACUUUUGGGACAAGGUGUGUUCUUUCAUUUUAUGUGACCUGUAGACAUGUGGUAUUAUUGUCAGUUCCUCACUUUGUUUUGUUACGGUUAAAACAUUUAUGUGAUCUACCACAUGUCUUGGAAUAACAUAAAAAAGGUUUUUAUGCAAGAAAAAAAGAAGAAUAAUAGCUUUGUUUUCACCCCAUUAUUCUCAUUUUGAGGCAGAUCUAUUUUGUGAACCUGGAACACUUAAGAAUGACUGCUGGUAAAUGUUGCAGGGUGCUAAUUGCGUAUGAGAAAGGGUUGCUGGUUCUUUGGGAUGUAUCUGAUAACAAUGCAGUUUCUGUUAGAGGCUAUGGUGAUUUACACAUGAAGGGUCAAAUCACUGGUUCUCAGAGGGACGCUGGUGAAGAUCAAUUGAAUGAUGCUAUUGAUGAAACUGAAGAAGAAAGAGAAAUUUGCUCUCUUUGUUGGGCAUCGAGAGGGGGCUCAAUUGUUGCUGUUGGCUAUAUAACAGGAGACAUACUUCUAUGGGAUAUGACUACAAGAUUCCCAAGACAAGACAAGCAAAUCGAUGUUUCAUCUAAUGUUGUUAAGCUGCAGCUGGCUUCAGGGAGUCGUAGGCUUCCUGUUAUUGUCUUGCAUUGGUCUGCUGGGUCAGCAAUUCAUUCUAAUAAAGGAGGGCAUCUUUUUGUAUAUGGUGGUGAUGAUAUGGGAUCUGAAGAAGUUCUCACGGUUUGCCUCUUGUUUCAUUCUCAUUGUUACGAUUUUCCUUUUCUUUUGCCUGCCAUCUUAAAAGGCAUUGCUGAGCACAAUUGAUUCUUCUCAGGUGAACUCAAUUGUACCUUUUUGCUCCUUAACAAAUUUGGUGAAGUGAAUUCCUAGCUCAUUGAUGUCACCUGGCUGUGAGACGUGUUUAGUGUAGACAUACAAUACUAGUUUGGCUUUGGCAUGGUGACAUAGCCCACAUGGGUGUAUAGAAAAUAUGACCUACCAUGAGAGUUUUGUGCACGUAUAAAGAUCUUUUUCCCAGGUAGAACCAAACAAGUCUGGACAAUCCUCUUGGUUCAGGUCUCAGCAGCCAUAUCUAAUUGUUCAUCUAAAGUGAUGUAUUCAUACUUAUCAGGAUGACUAUCCUAAACAUGAAAAAACAGUUUGUUUGUUUUUAAAUUGUUUUCCCAAACUUUGCAUUUCAGAAAACUAGACCUUUAUCAAUGACAAAAAUGCUCAUUUUCUUGCAGGUUCUUAGCCUGGAGUCGUCUGCUGGAUUAGAAUCAGUAAGAUGCAUGUCACGGAUGGACCUCAAACUUGAUGGAUCCUUUGCUGAUAUGAUUCUUAUUCCUGAUACUGGGGUUCCUGAUAAAAGCAAAACUUCUGCACUUUUCAUUUUGACAAAUCCUGGACAACUGAAUUUUUAUGAUGGCGGUUCUCUAUUUUCUGUGCAAAAUACAAAAGAGGGAAAUGCUCUGCCUGAAGCACAAAAAUUUCCAGUUGCCGUUCCUACCAUUGAUCCCAACAUAACAGUCACGAAUCUUUGUUCACUAACCGAAAGAGAGCUUUCAAAUAUUUCAUUGAAGGUGCAUUCUGCUUGGAUUUGGAUAUUUUACUCUAUCAAGACAGCAUCAUUACUUAUGUAAGACCUUUUUUCUGUAGAAAUUUUGUGCUAGGCAAAAUGCUGGACCAUUCAUAUCAGGGAACAUGAAAUGGCCUUUGACUGGUGGGGUUCCAAGUGAGAUGUCACUGAAUGAAGAUCAUGCUGUUGGAAGACUAUACAUUGCAGGAUAUCAAGAUGGUUCUGUGAGAAUAUGGGAUGCAACAUUUCCUGUUCUGAUGCCAAUGUUCGUCCUGGAUGGAAAGGUAAGUCUCAUUUAUAUUUGCAUGAUUACUUGCAUUAUUCCUCUUUGGCCUAACAGAUUAACUAAUACAGUGAUAAUGAUUCUUUACCACAGGUGGCUGAUAUUAAUUUGGAUGGGGCAAAUGCUUCUGUGUCAUCUUUGGCCUUUUGUUCGUUAAACAUGACUUUGGCUGUUGGGACAACAAGUGGCCUGGUUAGAUCUUAUUGUCAAAUUUGUGGAUCAGUUGUUGUUGGUCGUUGAUACCUUGUUUAAUACCCCUUUUAUAUCUCAUUGUAGGUACGCAUCUAUAAACUUCGUGAGCACACUGGGGGUUCAAGCUUUCACUUUGUGAGUGAUUCUAAGCAAGAAGGUAAUUAUUUCAGGAAGCUAUAUGUGUCAUUAUGAACCCUUAUGACAGGGGGAAAUGUCUAGGAAGUUUCAGCUGGUGAAAUGGCCUAUUUAAAUCCCCCCAGACCCCUUUAAAUGUCAGAUCAGUUUCCCAUGUGAAAAUGUUGCUGCCUUGUUAAGGCAGUGUUAUGCCAAUUUUACUUCCUUCUCUUAGCACAUACAAGAUGCUUGGCAUGUCUGAAUGGUUCCUUACUGAAACGAAAACUGAACCGUUGAUUAUGAUUGAGCUUUUACCAGUGGACAAAAAACUCGACUGACCUAGGAGAAACUAGGUGGCUAUGUAAAUAAGAGGAAAUAGGCACCCAAAUUCUUGUUGAAGAGAACUCAAACCUAGGUGGUGAGGGCACAUCUCCCACCAACUUAUCAGUGGACAAAAAACUGCUUAGCCGCCAUAUCACAUUUAUAGAAACUGCGAAUGUUGUUUUUCACUGAAGGUUGAAAUUAUUUGUUCCCGUGCUAAAAAACUACUGAAGUAGGCCAUUAGCGAAACUCAUGUUAGGCAUUACAAAGUUCUCUCUUUGAAUAUGGUUCGUUAUAUUUUCAUUAACAACAAAUACUCUUUUCGUUUGACUUUCUUACAGUUCAUGUUGUUCAUCAAGGGAAAGGAUUUCAUUGUCAUGUUGCCUUUUUGGCAUCACAUUCCCCAGUGCGAUCUCUAUUAUUUACAGCUUCAGGGGAGGUACUUGCAGCUGGCUAUCAGAACGGUCAGGUAUAUUCUACCUAUUUUUAUAAUAGAUGCUGUCCUUUAGAUUUCUAUUAUUGCACUAUUUGCUUGAAACUUACAAUUACCAACUUAUAUCAGUUAAUCAUUAUGUUCUGGUUUGUCUUCUUGAAGGUGGCAAUGUUAGAUCUAAGUCAGCUAUCAAUUCUAUUCACGGUAGAUUGUGCAUCAGGAACGAACUCUCCUGUUGUUUCCUUGGGUAUUUACAGUGUUGCGCCAUCUGCUGCAAAAGCAGAUGAAUCAAAAAAAGAGAGUCCUCAAAAUGCUAUGUUACUCAGAGAUAUUCUUCUUUCCUUGACAAAGGAUGGCCGUGUUACUGUACUUGACUGCACAACGGGUGUGAUGAUAAAUUCACAUAUCUUAGAUCUGAAGCAAUCAUCUGCUAUUUCCAUGUAUGUCAUAGGCAAGUGAUUACUAUCAUUGCAUUAAGGUGGCACUUGUACCUCCUUUAGAUUAUUACCUAACUUUGCAAGCUUUUGCAUGUAGAUGGAGCUUCAGAUGAGAAGCAAACCCAAUUAUCAGAGGACACAAUUGGAAGUCAAGGUCAGACAGGAAAAGAAGGCAACGAUCUUGACAAAAAGCAAGCACCAGGAGUUGGAAAGCACCUGAAAAAUGCUUCCCACCUUUCACAGAAUGGUGGUUCAGAUUCACUUCUUCUGGUCUGCUGUGAGGAUGUUUUGCUUUUGUUAUCCCUUGCACCAUUGGUUCAGGUGUGUACAUAGCUGGUACGAACUGCUUUUUGUUACUUUCCAAACUUCCAUAUCUUACUGGUGACGUUCCUUUUCCUAUCAGGGAAACAACAAGCAUCUACAUAAGACAAAACUUGCAAAACCUUGUUGCUGGUCAGCAGUUUUCAAGAAUAUGGAUGGCAAAAUUUGUGGGUUGAUAUUAGCUUAUCAGACUGGCACUAUAGAAUUAAGGUAGUUUUGUCAUCUCUUUGCCUUGUCAUACAAGAUAUGGAUAAUCAGUGCAGCUUUGAUAUAUUGACUUAAAAGUUUAUAUAUAUUAGAAAAUGUGUCCUCUGUUUACAUCUAAACAUAUGCUUUGAAGCAGAAAAAAAUAGCUUACUGCAAGUAUUUUGUUUCACCACUUGAACCAAAUUUCACCAUGUAGAAUCACAUGAGAAUGUUUUAAGUAUAGAUAAUACUGAUUUUCAAUGUAGUCAAUAUUAUUGGGUUUUAAAAGGUAGAUUUUUGACUAAGCCCUUUCAUCUAUUUUACGUACUGGCAUAUAUUCACAUAUCCGUGCUAGGGAUUGAUGAAGUUUGCUCAGACCAUGGCAAUUUGACUUUAUUAUGGGCAGGUCUGUGCCAGAUCUAGCUAUUGUUGCUGAGAGCUCCUUGAUGUCGUUAUUGAGAUGGAGUUACAAGGCAGGCAUGGAUAAAUCCAUGAGCUCCUCAAACGGACAAAUUACUCUGGUAACUUUUAUCACUUGCCCUUCUAACUUAGUCCUUAGGAUCUGGUUGGUGGAUUUCAGAUUUAGUAUAGUGAACUUUAGUGCCUAGUAUGUGUAGUAGUUUUGGUUUUAAGUUCUGUAUUGUUGCUGCCACAUCCAUAUCGAGCUUAUUUAAUCCAAACAGAGCAGGUUUUUUUUCCUGGAAUUUUGGUACCUAAAACGGGUGUCAUGUUUUCUUUGUGGCAAGCAUGCUUGAAGAGGUGGUUGAGUUUGUUCACCAAUAAACCUACAACUUACCAGUUGAUUCAAUUUUUAAAGGAAACUAGGGGCCGCCUGGACCAUUUGGAUUUCAUAUAUAUUCAGAUUUUACUGAAAAAUGCUCAUUUUCCUAACAUAUACUCCACCACAGGUAAAUGGAUCUGAAUUUGGAAUUAUAUCUCUCAUGGCCUUAGAGAAUGACUUCAGGUACUUCACAUUUCUUGCAUUGUUGCACUGAGAUGCUAUUCAGAUUGAGAAGUAAUAGGUUUGACUGCUGACCCUGUGGUAAUAGGAUUCCAGAAUCUCUGCCAUGCCUUCAUGACAAAGUUCUUGCAGCAGCUGCGGAAGCAGCUAUUAGUUUCUCAACUGACCAGAGAAGGAAGCAGGUAUCCAUUUCUUUUCUGAUCUCUUUUAUCGAUAUGGCAGCUGCUGUACAUUUUGGCUUCACAUGAAACACUUCGGUGCAGAAUCCAGCAGCAGGAAUCCUUGGUGGCAUCAUUAAAGGAAUGAAAGGCAAGGCUGAAGAAAAUGCAAAAAUGAGAGAAAGCUUCACUGUGCAAACCCCCAGCGAACAUUUGGAGUCAAUUUUCUUGAAAGAUUCAUUUGUUGAACCAUCAAUACCCAAUCUUGAUGACCCGAUAGAAGAACUGUCAAUAGGUUCUCUUUCCCCUUCCUCAUGAGCAUUUAUCUGAAGUGUUCCCUGUUAACUUGAGAGUAUUCAAUGCAGAUGACAUAGAAAUUGAUGAUGAAGUACCAGUAGCCCAGGCACCAGCAUCCUCCUCUACAUUUCACGGGAACAAGAGAACAGCAGGUCGGACCUAAUACUUGUGCAUCUUUUUUGUUUCUACUAUUGAAGGUUAUACUUGUGUAAACUCUGUAUGAUUUUGUUGGCUGUAGAAGAGGAGAGAGAGAAGCUAUUUGAAGGGUCAAGCGAUAUUGGUAAACCAAGAAUGAGAACUCCGCAGGAAAUUCUAACAAAAUAUAAAUUUGGCGGGGUAAUUAAUGUCAUGAACAUUGCAAUCGGUCAUGGUUUGCCGUGUAUGGGAGCUAAAUGUAGAUCCAUUGCAGGAUGCGGCAGCAGCUGCGGCUCAUGCAAAGGAUAAGCUGAUGCAGAGGCAGGAGAAACUGGAGGUGAAUAGUUCGAUUUCAUUACAGUCGCUAUGUUGUUUCUUGCAGCCCUUAUUCAGAGCAAUUCUAUGAAGCUGUAUUUCGCUUUGUUUUUACAGAGAAUAAGCCAGCAAACCGCGGAGCUUCAGAACGGAGCAGAAAACUUUGCUUCCCUGGCGCAGGAGCUUGCGAAAACGAUGGAGAACAAGAAGUGGUGGAAGCUAUAAUCCAACAAAGAGAUAGUUCGUGUGUAUAUUAUUGGACAAACGCAAUUACUGUGUUGCACUUGCACGCCAUCAGUCAGGUGCUGUGUACAUUAGUAUCAUCACUUGUUUGCUACCUGUGGAGGUGCUUGAUUACCUUGGCAGCAGGUAUUGCAGAGGUUUCAUUGUUAUUAUUCGGUAGCUAGCUUAGGGACGUCGUGCUGAGUUGUAUACUAAUACCAGCAUCAGCAGCACGCAAUCUUAUGGUGUGCACUGUAUUAAGCAAAGGGUCAUUGUUUUGUUUGUUUUUACUGCUGUAAAGAAAAAAAGGAGCUUGUAAGGAACUGACUGCUAACAGUAUUGAUGGCUGCUCGAGGGAUCCAUCCAUGGGGGCACGAACUUGCAUGGGAAAUGCUUGCUUUGAGAGUACCUCGAGUACAACCAUGUAUCUGAUUCAUUUUGCUAGCCUGUUCGAUCUUGAGUUGCACUCAAAGCUGUACUCAAAUGGUUGUAUGCGUAGUGUAGCAAUACUUGCAGAAAUAGUGAGAAACAAGUCAAGUGAUUAUUUGGGCAAAAGGAACCUACAACAUAAUUAACUGCGAAGAACAAACCAACUAAGGCAGAAACUGUGUUAUCCGACAGUCCAUGCAUGGAUACAUCCAUCUCAUCUAGUACCGCUCCAGGAUAAGCAGUAGAAUACAAUGCCUGGCCAUGGCCGUGAGGCAUGUGUUACCAGCCGCUUAAGCGUAAUAACUAACAAACUACGACAUACAGUUGUUCAAUCAUUCAAGGACAGUAUCCUCUUGGUCACAGGAUCCAACCAGGUCAAAUAGAACAGUCCAAAAAACCUUCUAAUGAAUGGACGAUGCACUGCUGCCUUUACUGUCUAAUAGAUCUCAGGGGUCAGGACAUUAACAUAUUCUUAGCUAGUAACAUUGCAACCAAGGCAAUGCCAAUACCUUCAACUACUGCCGUCCUCAGAUAUACAGCCAAUUAUCUGUAAAUACAAGCGACAGGCAGAUGCAUAUAAAGCCCAUUACCUGCGUCUUAGAUCUCUCUGCAAAAGGAAAACGGAGGAACUGUAAGUUCGAGGCAUGGAACUUUUCCUGACAAAUAAUGUAUCACAGUUUGAAGAUACUGGGCUCAUAUAAAAUAUACUGACAGAAUAAGGAAUAUAAUAUAUAUAUAUAUAUAUAUAUAUAUAUAUAUAUAUAUAUAUAUAUAUAUAUAGUCUUCUUUCCACUUCAAACUGCUAUGUAUUAAGCUAGCAAAUUAUAGCGGGUAAGUAUUUUGUACCAAUUUUCUAUCAUCCAAUCAUUUUGUGCACAACAUCUUAGAUUCUUAAGAGUGCAUUUCUACUUCCUAGAAGCCACGAGCAAGCGGAAACCAAAUCUAAAAGUGAAGGCUUACUCUUGGACCACGGUCUGUAACUGGUGUUGGCCUGCUCCCUGUAUUAUCUGCUUGCUGAAUCAUCUGUGGACUAUCGUGCUUAUAGAAUGCCUGCAAAGUUCUCACCAUGAAAGGACGGACAAUGUUCACUUCCAUUGCAGACAGAUUUUUGAGCUGCGAGAAUGGAAGCAAGAUGUGUAAGGUACCGUUGGUGCCUGACCAAUGAAGCAAGCAGUUAAGCUAGUACGAAACACAGAUAGAUACAAGGAAAUGUAAAUCACAUCCAAUUCAAUAAUAACUUUAACAGAAUCCGAGGAACCAAGAAAGGCCGUUGAUUUAGAGUCUGUAAUUCUGAAGGAGGAAAAUUUACCUUUACAGCAUGAGUGCGUCCCGAUAUUGUCUCUAAUCCAUUCUCAACCUUGUGGAAUCUGACAUCUCUGAUGUCCUCAAUCAAAGAUCUCACCUGUGUCACGAUCACAACUAGGAGUGAGCAUUUUUUCAAUACGAUUAGGACUUGCUGGAUGCAGGAAACAAAUUUGUACCGAGACUGAUUAAACUCACCAAGUAUGCAUCUGAUAUGUCAUCACGAGCACUGCAGGAGAAAAAUGAGAGUGAAUCAGGUUUAGGUUCACAGUCUGUUUUAGCAUCAAGGAAUAUGGGGUGAGGCAGUGAUUACUGAUCAAACAGAAGCUUGGAAAUUUCAAUAUAGUGGAAUGGUAAUGGCUGGAAUUCUCGAGGGGACUCUCUUUCUGCUUCCAAUACCUGUGUCAAACGGUCUAGUAACAUAGAAGGGGGCGCGUUAGUAGAUACAGGGGUAAUACGCAACCACACAUGGAAUCAGUUACUGAUACGAUACUACUACUGAGGAAUGCUUUCACAGAGGGAGCAAUGCUUUUGCUUGAGCAGGAGGCGGGGUUAGAAGAAAGGCAAAGAAGCAACAUAAACAAGGAAGCACUGACCAACAGUCAUCCAGUUGGGGGUGCGGAUGGUGCACUUGCCACGCUUCUUGAGCGCGACAGCGAGCCAGAGCGGCACCUUGGUCGGAAUUUGAGGGAAGAAGGGCCCGAAGUCCCCCUGCACGGCAGCGGCAGCGGCAGUGUGAGAUGCACGUAGAAAUGGGGGAUCGACAGUGGAUAUGGGUGGUGGACAGAGACGACGCACGCAGAUCAUGUUGAGGGCUUCCAUGCGGAUGUUGGGGACGAUGUCGACGAUCUCAUCCUCCGCCGCGAACUCCACCUGCAGCAUAGAUUGAGGGAAUUCGGCAUCAUCCCUUCCCCUUCUUCUCUUUGAAGACAGCCAGAUAGGUGAAUACUAACUAGGUGGAAGGGGUUCGCUACCUCGGAGGGCGAGAAGAUGGAGAGGUGCGGGUCGGACUGCCCGGCCAUGAAGGGCGGGGCGGCGACGGUCGGUGGAGAGAGGAACACGGAGGCGCGGCGGCGUCGAGAUCCUGCUGCUGCUGCUGGAGUGCUGGUGGUGGUGGUGGCGGCCUGGUGGGCGGCGGGGCAGAAUGACCUCUCUUGGGCCGGCAGCCCAGCCCGAGGCAAAAAAGCCCAUCAACAGCAGCCCGGUUCGGUCCCCGCAGCUUCCUUCAAUCUCGAGAGGAGAAGAGAGGGCAGCAGCGGACGGCGGCGGGCUCUCAAACUGCUUGCCUGCUCGUCGCCGCCGGUCGGUCGGCCGGGGACAGCUACGUGCUUUCUAGGUUUCGAUCCCAUCAUCCAGCAGAAGCAGCAGCAGCAGUGGACGACGGGUUCCCGAUGCUGGCCGCCCGGAGCCCCUCUCCGAGCUUCCACGCGCACGACCGCCUUCCUCCGCCGGCACAUGACAUCGCGGAGCGCCUCCGCCACCUGCGCGACCUUCGCAGGGCGCCGCUCCCCAGCCGCCUCGCCCGCAUCGCCGACCUCCACACCGACGAGGCCAGCCCCGUGCGCAAGCAUGUCGCCGAGUGAGCUCCCCUUUUUCCUGCUCCAAUUUCACCAUCUCCACCUUAGAUUACCCGCAGUUUUCCUCGGCUUCUGAUGAAUGAUUGAAACUAAGGCACCACUUAGCUGCGCUUGCAGUGACUAUUGCUAGCGCAAGGUCUUGGCAGCAGGCGGAAUUAGGUUAAACAAACCAAUAUGAAAAGAAAAAUGCUUCUGACCUUGCAAACGCUCUCCUGCUGUAGGAUCAUUGGUGAGGUUGGGUCCAAACACAUGGCGUACCUACCCGAUAUCAUCCCUUGUUUGCUGCACCUUCUGAAUGAUGAGGUGCCUGCAGUCGUCAGGCAAGCUAUCAAAACAGGAACCGUGUUGUUUGCCCAACUACUUCAACACCUAGUUAUCCAGGUAGCUUUAUUUCCAGCACUUGCUCUUGGACCUGCCUUCCUGUGCAAAUUCCGUCUCAGCUUGCUCAUUUUUUGUUACAGGGAUUAUUCUCCACUGGAGGGAUUGAUGAUGCACUUAAAUUGUCAUGGGAACGGCUUCUCAAGUUCAAAUCCACCGUCUCGCUCAUGGCAUUUCAGGCGAGCCCCUCUCCUUUCCUUUCCAACCAAAUAACCCAAUCUUCCUGGCCUGCACCUAUCUCACAUUUUAAUCUGUCUGUCAGACCACCGGCAAUGAAGGUGUCCGGUUACUGGCUGUUAAGUUUGUUGAAAAAACAGUUCUUAUGUACACACCAGAUCCUAAUAUCCCAUCAGAUCCACCAAGCAAAGCUACAAAAGGUACACCUUAUGCUCUACUUCAUAUGGAAAUGAUAAUAUCUUCCAAGUUUAGCACCCGUUGGGUGCAUUCUAAUUUGGCCAUCUGUAAACCAUUUGUAGAUAUGGGAUUCAAUGUAGCAUGGUUACGAGGAGGUCACUCUUUGCUUAAUGUCGGAGAUCUAGCCAUGGAAGCCAGCCAGAACCUCGGAUUGUUGCUAGAGCAGCUCAAGUCUCCUAAAGUAAAAUCACUCAGUACUUCCAUGAUCAUUGUCUUCGUUACUAGGUUUAUCUCUUGUCCACUUGUGUUCCAUUAUCUUUUCUGUAUGUUACAGUUUGUACCAGCUGUGAGAAAAUAAGUCUCCUUUCGCUACCGUGUCAUCUAUUUGUUUCGUCUGUUGAAAAAUUGCAUGCUACGAUGAUCUUUAUCCAGCAUGAGUUUUCUCCUUUUUCUUCCCCCUGCUUUGUGCAUUAUUUUUAUAACUCUCCUAACAUAAACUUCUUCCAGUCUCUCAGCUAUUGCCCAAAGAAGGCCUUCCUUUUACGGACGCAUACUGCCAGUUUUACUCUCCUUGGACCCAGCAAGUUCCAUUAUUAAAUUGCGAGUCCCAGGUGCAUUCCAUGCUUUGAAGAGUGCCUUCUCUGCAUGCCUGAAAUGUACACAUUCAAGUGCUGAGCCGGUAUUUCUUUUAGCUUCAACCUUUCUAGAUACAUUUUUUCUACUGACUGUACAUUCGAGAUGUGUCCCUUUGCCCUUAUUUCAAUACGUGCUCAACAACUGGAGAUAACAGAUUUGCUAUGUAUGGAAGGCUGUGUUAUGUUUUGUAGACACACUCUCUAAUUAGGAUUUUUUUUCCUUCUAUCAAUUUUGAGCCAGUUUGGUGCUCAUUUGUUUCCUGGGCGCCGGUCAUCCUGCCCGUAUCAAUCAUCCUGGAUGGAUUUGACUGGUCUCUAGACCCUAGAGGUGCAAAUGUGUUUGAUUUCUUGUUCUCUUGGUGUGUGGUUGUUCGGUUAGUUGGGUUAGUUGUAACAGAUGCAGGAUGACUGGGUAUUUGUUUGAAUAGUUGAAAAUAUGUAUUAGACGUGGACCAGAGUGGCAAGAAGAAAACUAAACUAACUGACCCUUUUGUGUCAUUUCAGCCAUUGACAUGUAGGGAAAAAUAAACAAAACUUCCUUUAUGUUGGAUAUUUUCGUGUCCAUUAAUGGAACAUACUAAGUGGUGAUGGUGGUCAUUGCCCGGGUCUCGACAGAUAUGUACCAAAGUUGAGGUGAUGAGGUGGAGAGAAGGGGAACGUGUAGGAGGGGGAGGGGCUUGCUGGGGUAGGGCAAAGAGAUACUUAGGUACUUCCUUGGGACAUAUCUCUAUUCUUUACCAAUCUUGUCUAAUCUCCACUUGGGUUCAACAAAGCAACUAAUUGCUUCAGCAAACUCUCAAAAUCGACCAGCUUAAUCUUGCUGGCUGCACCGUGAGCUAUGCGGGUUGAUGUGGGUGCUGGUAUAGUACCAAUCCCACAUGGAAAAUGCGUAAAUGGAAUGCCCUCAGGAAGUUUCUUAUUAUUCUCUUUCUACCCCAUCUCUUCCCAUGCUAGACUAAUGGAUACCUAUUUCCAAGUAGAUCAAUUCAUUCCGAUGCUGCAUGCCAGCAUCAUAAAUUCAAAGCUUUGGGUGAGCUUACAGUUUGCUGGUUCACCGGUCGAACCAACAGUUCUUAAAAAAAUAAAUAAAUGAUUUUUAAGUAACACGCCCAUGGAAUUUAAGGUAAAAUGGAAUUGUUUUCGCAUUAUCAUCACAGAAGUAACUUAGCGCAGUUGGUUUGUGGGUUUUGAUGGGCUUACUAUGUGCUGCACUUGAGGUUGCGGGUUCGAUUCUCCCCGCUAGCACAAUAAAUUUUUCAUCAUUUUGUAGCAGCUCCCGCUGGUUUGGCCCAAUUCUGAACGGUUCACACUGGUCUAACUGCAUGGCUGAUCUUCCAGUUGAAUUGAACCUGUGAGGUAAUGAGUUCCUGGUUUUCCGGUUCAACCGGUGGACCCGGUCCAGUUUUUCAUACAAUGGUUUCAACUGUGAUCACAUCAGGGGUUUCUUAGAGAGAAAAUCAAUCAAAGGUUUGAGAGGCUAGUUUUUCAGCAUCAGCCAGAUACGAUUUGCACUUCAGUAUGUUGGUAAAAUAAAUCUGGCCCGGGCUUAGGGAGGGCAAAGGUGGGCUUGGGUAAUAUCAGCCACUCCGACAGACUUGAGUUAGCAGCAUGAUCCACAGAUUUGCGCAACUGCACAGAGAUGUGUACAGUAGGGGAUGCGAGAGAGGUGGUGUUAACACUCCAUGAAGUCCUGUACACCAUACAUCCUGAUGCGAACCUAGGCAUAUGUUACACUUGAUUCCCAUGUUUCACUGCUAUACCUAGAACUAUUUUUCUGAUUGAGACUCCUUGGUGUUAGUGAAUCAUUUGAGAACUCACCAUCCUCAACCAAAAUAUGUGCACUAACCCCAGUCUGUAUAAGCUGCAUGAAUGCAAUCAAUCAGCACCAUUUAGUCCAUCUUCGGAAUUAAUUGCUAAGUAUUUUAUGUCACCAUUGGUUUCUUUUGUUCAUGACAAUGUGUAUGAUAUAAAUAUUUGUGCUCCGUUUGUUUGAGAAAGUGUAUAUCCUUAUCCCAUGUAUUUGGUUUGAGAUACAUUCUAUACUAAUUCAAGGCUGUUAUUGUAUUUUCAGUGGCGAGCACGUCUAUUGGAAGCUCAAAAUAUUAUCAACCAGGACUCAAUAGAAGAUACUGCAAAUGCUGCUAAGAAUCUGGGGGACACAUCAAACAUGGAAGAAUCGUUGCCUCCGAUGGUAUGUACGUGCUCCUCGAAGCCUGUUCUCUCCCUCUCUCAUAACUAUUUCAAAAUGGCUAUAUUUCUUUGAUGUAGGAGAGAAGCAAUGACAGUAGUAACAAGCGUAGUUUGGGUGAGGACAUGAAUCAGAUGAUAGAAGAUGAUGGUCACUCCAAUAAAAGAGUCAGACAUGCACUUGAUGCUCAAGAACAUAGUGAAGAGGCAAACAAGAGAAAUGUUGAGUCAACCUCUGUUGAUAUCUCAUCUGGCCAGCCCAUCUCUAUAAGAACCGAGAAUUCAGAAGCUGUGUAUCAAUUAAUUGGUAUGUUUGCUGCACUAGCUGCACAAGGUGACAGAGCUGCUGGAUCACUGCAAAUCCUUUCAUCCAGUAUCGCUAGUGACUUAUUAGCGGAGGUUGUAAUGGUUAACAUGCAACAUAUCCCUAUGUCUCGUCCUGAAGUUGACCAACAACAGCUUCCUUCUACUAGCUCUGGAGAUGGAAUUCCAUUUCAAAGUUCCUUCCCUCUGUUGGCAUCUCUGCUGAAGGUUUUUUCUUUAUAUUUCAUCGUUUGAUCUGUUAGAUUCUCUUCUUUUUUGGUUUAUUGAUCUUUUGCAUUUCAGAAGGUGAAUCAAAUUGAUCAAGAUGAAGUGCCUCCAACUAAGGAAUCCGCAGUAGUGCCAUCUGUUGCAGAUGAUAUCAUGACAGUUCCUGCUAGUUCACCUGGUCCUAGUUCAGUAAAUCUUCCUAUGGAAGAGAACAGUAGCAGUCCAACUGUUCCAUUAUGUGUAGAAACAGCAGAGGUCAAAGUAACCAGUGCAGGUGCCAAUAGUUUGAUUGAUAUUCUAGAAUCAUCAGAAACCUCCCAUGCUUCGACAGAACCUCAGGGAACCCAAGAGCAUGCUAGCAGUUAUAUCAGUUCAUUGCAUGCUGAUAAUUCCUCAGCUGGCCUUAGUUUGGCACAAUCUUCAGAAACUCGCAGCCCAAGCUCUUCGACAGUGGAAGCAAACCACUCACAGCUUUCAUCUUUGAAUUCCCUUGGUUCACAAUAUGUUCUUCCGAAGUUGGUUGUCAAUAAUGUUGAUCUCAGUGAUGAGGCCAAAGAUCUGCUUCAAAAAGAGUCAUUUUUGCGGAUUCUUGAGAGUGAUAAGCAAGAAGGAUCUGGUGGUUCAAUUGCUCGCCUUCCGUUGCUUGCUCACUUGGGUGUUGAGGUAUACAUAUGGAUUUAUCAUCUCCAGUAGAAUUGAUACUUUUGGCUUGAGCUUCGGUUGGUGAUUUUCUGUAAAGCAUAGCUCCUCUCAGAAACAUGUGUUAGUUAUUAGAAUUUUUGCAUUUCUGAUUCUUAUCCCGCUUAUGUACUGUCUAAUCAUCUUAUAGUCAUGCACUCAUUAUCGCUUUACAUUGUUCUUUUAAUGUGUGUUACUUAUCGUUGCAGUUUCCUCUGGAAUUGGACCCUUGGGAAAUUCUCCAGAAGCAUGUGCUUUCUGAUUAUGCAAAUAAUGAGGUACCGAUGUACAACAUCAUAUGAUUAGUUGGUGGUCUUUAGUCCAUUUAGUACAAUUGGUAUAUAGUUUAUAUUUUCAAUAGAUUUGUUGGUGGCGUAUAUAUUGAGAAACUUAGAAAAAUGUGUCCUGUUUAGCUCCUGUAACUGAUUAGUAAUCAACUUUCUUCUGUAUGAAUCAAACUAGGAGUGGUUUGAUUGCAUAGCUGUUAAUUAGAAUGGACUGGUUAUUCCAUUAAGGAAUUUAGUCCUGCCUUUUGAUUUAUUUCUGUGGUUACUUUUAGUAGUCCAGUGUUCCACUCUCCUUGCUUCUUCAGAGUUUCCUGACUCAAGUUUUCUUUAAGCAGGGACACGAGUUGACUCUAUGCAUCUUGAACCGGUUAUAUCGUGAGGCCGAGCAGGAUCAAGAUUUUCUUUCAUCUAGAACUGCUACAUCAGUUUACGAAUCCUUUCUUCUGAGUGUAGUAUGUCUACUUAAAAUUGAUGCAACUUUGUCACAAAUGCUAUUUCUCUCGCAUCAUAGCUGUCCAUUUUCUGCUGCAUAGGCUGAAAAUCUUCGAGACAUGUUUCCGGCUUCAGAUAAGUCACUUGGCAAAUUGCUUUGUGAGAUACCAUACUUACCAGAAGGUGUGUUCAAACUGCUAGAAGGUUUAUGUUCUCCUGGAAGUAAUGAGAAGCAGGACAAGGAUAUUCAGAGUGGUGACAGGGUAACUCAAGGUCUCAGUGCUGUCUGGAACCUUAUCAUGUUAAGACCUUCAAAUCGGGACAGAUGUCUGGAGAUUGCUUUGCAGGUGCUUUUCUGAUGUCAGGAAAUUACUAUGUUUAUAUUUUUUAGUGAGCAAAUAUAUAUUUACAUGCAUAUGUGCCUUUUGAGUAAUUUUGAUUCCUUGGCAGCAAAAUUUCCUAAAAUGUCUGGAACAAUGCCAGUGACAACUUGAUGUAGUCUAUUUUGACUUCUCAUAUGGGGUAGAGCACAAGUCAGAGCCAAUUUAAACAUGAAUAUCAACUUUGACUUGUUUUCCAGUUCUUCAGUAGAUUAUUACAUACUGGAUUUUGUAUCUGCACAUUGCAUUAAAGCAAUCCAACAUGCUUGAGUAUUAUUCUGCUUGCUCUGAAAUGGGGCAAUCUCUGAACAGUUGAAUAUUCAAUUACUAAUGGAUAAAACCUUGAAUCUUGUUAUCGUUCAAAGUUCAUUUUUAAUAUUUCAUGAUUCGUAUAACCUUUAGUGCCUUUUUUAUGUUGGCCCAAAAUGAUCUUUUCCAUUAACCACACAUAGAUAGCAGUUUGGGGGGGGGGGGGGGGGGGUUACAUAUAGAGAUAAGGCAGGGGUAAUUUAGGAAUAAGUAGGUACUACAUAGAUAGAUAAGGUGCAUAUGCACCACCAACUACACCCAACACACACAUGACUUAUGUUAUCAUUUUAUACGUUACUUACUAAAGUGUUUCGUGCAGAGUUCAACUCAUCAUCUAGAGGAGGUCCGCAUGAAGGCAAUACGUUUGGUAAUUGCAAAUCCUGCCUGCUUCUAAGAAAUCUGCACUUCCAUGGUUUGCUCACCUUUUUAUUUUACAUCUGAUAAACAGGUAGCAAAUAAGUUAUUUCCCAUGGCAAGCAUUUCCAAAAAGAUUGAAGAUUUUGCAAAUGAAAAACUUAAUUCAGUUCUAGAAGUGAUUCCUUCUGGUGAUUCUGCAGCUACUGAAAUGGCUACUUCUGAAGCACACAAUGUUUGUCUCAUGCUCUCAUUUCUUUCAUAUAUUUUUGUGCUGUAUAUUCUGACUGAUUGCAUUUUUGCUGAUUUGUUGUACUUAUAUUUUCUGAAGGAUGGUGGUUUAGAAAAUUUAUCAGCUUCAAUGGCAAAUGCUCAAACUCUGAUGUCGCUGUAUUUUGCAUUGUGCACCAAGGUCAGUGGUUACUGUUUAGCAACUAUUUUAGUCUAGUUAUAUGAUAUCUGCUAACAGCAAGCAAAAUAUAUUUUUUCUUACCAGAAACAUUCCCUUCUCAGACAUGUAUUUGCAAUAUAUGGUAGCCUACCGCAAGCUGCCAAGCAGGUCCUUACACCUAUUAUUCUCUUCCAAAUAUUCUUUUCCCUUUUGUUCUAGCAGCAAAUAUAUAUCUACCAUGUAAUUGUAUUUCUUCCAGGCAGUUCACCGACAAGUACCAAUUCUGAUACGCACAAUAGGCUCCUCUCCUGAUCUUCUUGGGAUCAUCUCAGAUCCACCAGGUGACAGCCGGGACCUCCUCAUGCAGGUGCAAGUUGUUCUUUGGACUUCUGUUUUCCUUUUUAAGAUAUUUUCUCUUCUAUUUAUCAAAAUUCAGUGACAAGAUACAUGCAAAAGAGGGUUUAUGUUUUAUAAGACUAUCUUCUUGUAUUGGGUGAAUUUCUAUAACCCAUGGUAUUGCACCCUGCAGGUCUUACAAACCCUCACUGAUGCUGCUGUGCCAUCCAAAGAACUGAUUUCUUCCAUAAAGAACUUAUAUUCUAAAACAAAGGUCGUUGCUUGCUUUAAGAAAGCGCAGAGUUCUUACCUACUUUUUUACAAGAUCAGAGUUAGCUUGGAUAUUCUCAGUUUCUAAAAUGUCAGCCUCAUUUUGCAGGAUGUUGAGGUCCUUUUUGCAAUCUUGGCUCAUCUGCCAAAAGAUGAGGUUUUCUCCCCCUCCCACUACAUACCAAAUACUAGUUAGCAUUAUCGUAUUGUGCGCCUAGCCAGUGGCUUAUAAUUUGGAAUCUUCUGCAGUCACUUAUUGCCUAUAGUACCGCCAAUUAUUUGCACUUACACAUGCCUGUUAAACUGCUCACAUAUUAUUCUAUUGAAAUUGUCACCCUAGUGUAAGUGUACUGCCUUUCAAUUGAUUGACAAAACACCAUGGUACCAGGCCAGUGGCCUGGGUGUGGUAUUUUUCUCCAAACCAGUGUUAUGAACCAGUGUUUUACGGGAGUAACUCUAUACUUUAUGCAUUAUUGUUGGGAAACAUCUAUGGAUCUGACCCUAUUGUCCAACUCCAACCGCCGUACGAUUCUGUGCACAGCUGAGGAAAACUACUGCUCCCUAGUCCCCUCAGGGAGAGCAAUGGCUCCCCCUGAUUUGCUGCCUGAUGAGCGUCGUACGGCAGCUGGGCGAUACAGAUGUAUAGCAGCAUUCUUGUUGUUGAGAUGUUUGUAUUUGUUAUGUUCAUUAUAAUUCUUUGCUCCCAGGUCCUGCCGGUGUUCCCCAGCAUAGUUAAUCUUCCUAUGGACAAGUUUCAAACAGCCCUUUCACGAAUCUUGCAGGUUAGUUUUUAUCCUUGUAUGACAGUAUAUGUUUGUUUGAGUCAAAGUGUGACUUGAAAAUAAAGCACUAGCUUGAGACUUGAGUUCAGUCCUGGCCAUGUAGGCUGAGACGAAUGGAACUUCACAAGUGUAUUAUUGUCCUGGUAAAUAUUUAUUGUUAAAGAACAAGUUGCUGUCACCUCUUUACGACUUUGAACUUUUCAAGUAACUUAGAUUUGGAUCUACUUUACCUAUUCAUUUCAGUUUAGCAUUGCAUACUAAUCACACAGCAUCACUUUUUACUUGUCACAGGGAUCAUCUCGGAAUGGCCCUUCUCUUGAUCCAUCAGAAAUUUUAAUUGCAAUUCAUGUAAUAGAUCCUGAUAAGGAAGGAAUACCACUAAAAAAGGUCUGUUAGUUUCUCGCUUUGUUUUAGAAUGAGGUCUUUGAACCAUUUGGCAACCUAAUUAAUCAACUGAAGGAUUCAUAGGUUAUGGAUGCAUGCUCUUCUUGCUUCGAGCAAAGAACAAUAUUCACUCAGCAAGUUUUGGCGAAAACAUUAAACCAACUGGUGGGCCUGAUUUCUGUUUCAGAGUAUCUGCCUUAUGAUAUGAUGUAGUCGUUGAUCUAGGUAAACUUUUCCACAGGUUGAACAGAUUCCUCUUCCUUUGCUAUUCAUGAGGACCGUCAUGCAAGCAAUAGGUGUUUUUCCUGCAUUGGUGAGUUAGCUCCUAACCCACAUUAUGUGAACUAUGGCAAUGGCCCAAUAUUUGGUGCUGUGAAAUGGAUGGCAUGAUCUUUGUAUAUAGCCUAGUUGUGAAAGAGAUUUGUAGAUGUGACCAGGAUGGUGUUAUCAUCACAUUCGUUAGGCGCAUUCUCCAGAAGCAAGAGUAGUUCAUUGAUUGUUCUUGAUUUUGGUGAAUGGUGAAUGCACCAGAUUCUAUUGAAAAACCUACAUCAAUAGCUUUUUUAUUGUAGCUAGAUGGGGAUAAGCAAGAAAGACACACCCAUAUUUACAACCUGCUAGCCAUGUGUACUCCUUCCUGUCUAAAAGGGAGAUGAAUGGUUGAGGCGAUCAAGGAUCCGGGAAUGAAAUCCUGCCAGAACAAAUUGGCUAAUGUGAAUCUUAUUGCCUUCAUCCUGUGGAAAUCUAGUGCUUGCAUCUUAUAAUCAUGAAAAGUUGUUAAUAUUUUAGUCUCUUGGAGGAUCACCUCUCAUUUAUAGUAGAUUUGAUGUUGAGGACUUUAUAAUCUAAUGGUGAACCUUCCUAACAGGUGGAUUUUGUGAUGGAGAUCAUGUCACGCCUUGUGAGCAAGCAGGUCCUUAAUUGUUUUUCUUUUUUUAGUUGAAGAUGACUUUAGCUGCUGUUCUUUUCUACAUAUUUAUGAAACUGGACUCCAUCACUUGCCAUGGCAGAUUUGGAAAUAUCCUAAGUUAUGGGUAGGAUUUCUGAAGUGUGCUAUCUUGACGAAACCUCAGUCAUAUGGCGUGUUACUGCAGGUUGGCGCACAUCUUCAUCUCUUAUAUAAUCUGUGUUCUUGUAUGCAUUAUGCUCGAUCCUCAUCUAGGAGUUAUUUUACACUGCAUAUGCUAAUUUCUUAGUAGGAUCAAGGGUCCAUGGACAAAUGAGUUUUGUAUCCAUUUCCUUUUAUCUAAUCAUGUAUCAAUAUUUCCCAUGACAUGGCAUAUGUUUAUUCAGUUACCAGCUCCUCAACUUGAGAAUUCCUUGAGUAAGAAUCCCACACUGAAGGCACCCUUGGUUGAGCACGCCGAGCAGCCAAAUGUCCGAUCAACUCUUCCAAGGUUUUCUUUGUUCGCUCUUAUCAAUAUCAAGUGGUAGGUAUGCAUCUAAUAUGUGGCGCUGGAUAUGCUAUGAGAAUCUGCUUUUAUGGGCAGGUCUACUUUGGUGGUUCUGGGUCUUGCUGAAGAUCAACAACCACCCCCGCCAGCAGUAAGUCAAGCGCAGAGCAGCCAAAACCAGGCUGCGGAAACCAGUAGCUCUGCUGCAGAUACGACUACAGAAGUAACUCAGGAGUCUUCUGCUGCUAGUUAGCAUCGGCCUUGGUAAAUCUAUCGUUGAUUCAGUGUCUUGUAGCAUCUCAUAUCUGGAGUGGUCCUUCUGACUGCUGAAGACCUAAAGGGGAGGAUGAAGACGAGACCCAUAGCGGAAUCUGACAAGACCUAGUUUUUUUUUAUUUAGUUGAUGGAUAAUUUUAAUGACCGUGUAAAGCAAAGGGGUGAACGUUACAUUGCCUUUGAUAGGGAAAGGAUUUGUGCUGCUAGUCGAUCUAUAUUACGCAGCCAGUGAGUCGAAUACUUCAACAUUUCAUGUCCCAUUCUAGUAUACUAUCCUGCUUUUCUAUCAAUGUCUGAGCCACACUUACAUUGCAUACAUGCCUGAACGGCCAAGAAUCACUGCUCUUCUGUGUCUGAACUCUGAACCACCUUGCGGGGUGUACAUUGUGCAAGUGAUUUCCUUUUACUGGAUUCCCAUGGGAUCAAGGAUCAAUGCAAUAGGUAUUAGUGAUCGAUCAGCGUCCUGGAUUCAGAACAACCAUACAAUCCAAUUCCAAUUCCAAUCUAUGUACAAAGAAACGAUGAGAGAGCACACUCAACUCCCAGAAUCACUUAUGCAUAUUCACACAAAUUAAACAUAUAAUGCAAACAGAAAGGGCGUCGGCACUCAGACUAGACAAACUCGAAGCGCAUGAGAAGCUUCACGUGGUUGUACUGGUUUCCCUUGCGGUCGAAGAGCGCCACCGCCCGGAUCCCCGGCCGCAGCUCCGACACCGGCAGCACCGUCUGCCCUCCGAAGUCGUCCUUCUCCGACAUGUCGUACUCGUGCACCUCCACCCGUAGCAGAGCGAUCUCCGGGACGGUCAGGGGGAAGGUGAACUCCUCCUCCCAUACUGGCACCCAGUUAUCCUCGAUCGCCCUGGUCUUCUUCAUCAUCGAGUCUGCUGGGACUCCAGCUAUGCCAACCUACCAUACCAUACCAGUGGACGAGUUCUAAGCUGUUGCCCAAUUGAACCUGAGUUAAUUCUAUAUGCAUACAUACCCGCGCAUAGAAAUCUGGAGGAGAAUACUGAUCAAAGUGUGUCUGCUUAAAGUCCAUCCGCCACCCAUCACCCAGGUACACCUUGACCUUCAAGGUUUUCUUCACAGGUUGGCGUUCCCUUGGGUCAAACACUUCUGGUUCUGUCUGCAUCAAGAAAUCUGGUUUCUUCACAUAACCACACCCACCAUUGGCUUUAUAAAAUCCAUGCAUUAGCCAAAGGGCUCUUCCGUAUCCCUGAAGAAAGAAAAUCGGAUUGUUGUUACGACAAGUGUAAGCAGCCUCUCGAACUUGGAUUAACAGCUCAGAAGGAGAAAAUAUACCUGCAUAUUGAAGGCCACCAUUUGAGCACCAUGCACCCAACCAAGAAAUGGGUUGUAGUUGGAUGAAGUAACACGAGUUCCCUUGGGGUAUAUCCUCAAUAUGUUUCUCUGUGUGAACCUAUUUAGUAACACGAGUUCAGUGCAUGCAGGAAUAUGGUAUCUUGAUCUCUCCCUCUUUCUACCGCCGCUGUUAAAAUACAAAGAGGGGAAGGUGCUAGUAAGAGUAGUUAUUUUAUGCAUACCUCACAAUUUCAGUUCCAUGAUCCUCUGCCAGUUUGGCAAGUUGUUGCUCGCUCAAACUGAGACGCCUAACUUUAUCUGGAUCACUCUUCAAGGCAUCAGCCAGAGAGCCUUUUGGCUUCCCUGCUCUAAUAGUAAUAAGCUGUUUAUACUGUGGAGCUGAAUGAGGAUGCAUUAUCUGUUCCUCGUCGUCAUCAUCGUCGUCGUCCUCUUCGUCAUCUCUUUGGUGAUCUGAGCCAUCAUCAUCAUGCUGCUAGAGGGAACCACAGUUGUCUGUAGGUGAAAUCUCGCACAACUGAUUGAUUGCAUAGUGCGAAGGAAAGGAAGGCGAUAGAAUAGACAAUACCUUAUUAGCAGACUGAAUCUCAGUCUGAAAAUCCGGUACUUCUUUUCCCCACGCGGCAUCAUCAGCAGCUCCUUUGCCAGGAUGUGGGUCAGCGUCACCCUCUUUCAUGGUGCCAACCUUGGCUUCAAGGUACUCCUUGGGGGGCUUGGUGGAGAGGAGGACGCGGCCCUUGAGCUCUUCAGGUGAUGGGAAUUCUUUGAAAUGAUCGGUUCCGGGGUAGAAGAGUAUGUCGCCAAAUACUUCAAGGACCAUCUAAUAAUAAUUAACAGGGUUGGUUUCCAAAAGGCACAUGUUAAGUUAGAGAAGCGCAACAAGCAGUCAGGGAAGACGCAACACAAUUGGGUACCUCGGCAACUUUUGCCUGGAGGUCAGCCGGAAGGUGGUCUUCGAGCGUUAUGAUGACAGGAUAGGGGGACGCCACAAAGGCAUAUUCUUUGAUGGACCGCAGGCAUUUGAUGAGUGAAACUGGGGUGGUCAAUGUCCUAUAUUGUUAUAUAUGUGUGUAGAAGGGAGAGGAAAAGUGUAAGUUAGCAUAAGCAUUAUUCUGUUGAAACAAGAACAACAACUUGCAUUGUUAGCAGCAAGAGCAUCGUCGUCAAGAGUAACAAUGUGGAUAGCUAGGUAGAUAAAAUAAAAGGCCACAUGCCUGCCGUGUAGGAUGUUGAUGUCGUCCUUUGCUGAAUUUGGCCACAUGUCGAGCUCUAUGACCCUCACCCCCCUCUGCAGCGCCUUGAUGAUGGGGACGUCGCUGCAGUCGCUGCUGAGCUGGUUGCCGGUGAGGUAGGAGUUGUGGCCCGUGUAGAUGAAGUAGUGGGAGAGCGGGUGGGACAUGUCGUGGUGCACCUGCGGGCGUCGGAUGGGCGGGUUGAGGUCGUGGGAGAAGAGGUAGCGGUGGAAGUCGUCGAGCGCGAGCAGCGGGCGGGAGAGGCGGGGGAGGCGGGCGCGGCCCUGCUGCUGCUGGAUACGGAUCUGGUCGAGCAGGCGGUCGACCUCGCCGUCGUCCAGCGCGUCCUCCGUGGCGUCGAGGUAGCGGCGCAGGCCGUCGGCGCCCAUGUGGGUCCCGCCGCCGGAGUGGAGGUUGAAGAGGGCGCGGACAUCGUCGGGCGGGGCGGCGUCCCGGGACUGGAAGCGGCGCUUGAAGAUGAGGCAGCACUUGUAGGUGGUGCCCAUGAUUGCGUGCCUGCAGCUUUCCUUGUUCUUGACUUGAUGGGGGAGGAGGCCUGGAGCCUGGGAGGAGAGGGAGACGAGACAAGAAGCGGGGGAGGGGAAGGGAAGGGAAGGGGACGGGAGGGGACGCGUCUGACUCAGCGCUAUAAGGAGUAGUAACUACCAAACCGUCCUUUUCCCCUCCUCUUUCUUUAUUUUCUCUUCAAAGCUUCCUUUUUCUUUACCAUUUUGAGUCUGCACAAAUCCACAAUGCACUUGUGUUGUUCUACUACUUGUGUUUUUGUGCUGAUUAUAUAUAUUAAAAAGGAGACAGAUACAAGUCAGUUUCUAAAUAAGAAAUCACUUGGAUGGACAGGACAAGUGCUUGACAAAAAGAAAAGCAAAAACCAUGCAAAAGCUAGGAUGGAGGGAGGGCAAGAAAAGAAGAGGUACGUUGCCUUGAUGCGACUCAGUUGUCCGUCGACAUCAUAAUGAAUAAUAUGCAUCACCAUCCAAAGGAAGGCACCAGCAGCAUCCAUUAGCUGCUUCAAUUCCGCUUGCCCUGGCCCAACCAACCAUAUAUUGCAAAUCUGGAACCGAAAUCAUUUCCAACAUGCAUGAUAUAUAUAAGCAUAACCAAUUUGAAGUAAUUUAUAUCCUCACCUUUUAUUUUCGCUUAUGUAUGUAUAUAGUCUAUUUAUUAAUUUGUAGGAGAAUGGCCAGCAAAAACGACUGAGCAUGCAACUAUUCGAGACACCUAUUAUAUUCAAACAAUGUAGUAGUAGCCUAGAAAAGCAAAAAACGACAUACAUUUUGCAUUUUGGAAUGGAACGGAGGGAGUACACGUAUUCCAUCCAACAUAUUUAUAAAAAUCAUGCAUAUAUAUUGCAGGGUACAUCAUUAUUAAUUAAUACAGUAGCGUGUAAUUAUGCAGGUUUUUUUUAAUUAUCUUCCUUGAUGAUUGAUCGAGCUCGCUGCUAGCUCGUAUAUGUGGAUCUAGCUAGGGAACUACUUAAUAAUAAGCUGCCAUAGUUUGCAGUGGCCGGUGAUGCAUGCAUAUAUCUGAAAGAAGGAUAUGAUGAUGCAUGCUAGAGCAGCAGCGUAGUGUCGACGAGACGCCAUGCCAUGAUCGUCGGUGAUGAACAGCCAGCAGGGAUGACGGGCGUCGUUUCGUUGUAGUCCUCGACCAGCAAGCGUUGCACAAACUUGAUGGAGUCCUGCGAUUGGUCGGGCUCCGAGGUAGGGAAGCGGUCCCACCUGGCAGGGUCCCAGAGAAGGUGGCUGGCGAAGGCGAAGCCGUGGACGGAGUCCGACGUGCUGCUGGUGGAAGAGGAGAACCAGGCGGCGGUGGUGGUGUUGCGGACGCAGACGGGCCCUUCCACGGCCACCCUCCUCUGCUGCUGCCACACUGUGGCCACGGCCCACGCACCCAGAGUCCUGCGAUGCGAUGCCCAAUCAUUCAUACAUCCAUUAUUGCCCGGCCAUAGUAGAUCUAUCCUGGUCCAUGCUGCUCUGCCGACACACCACCGACAAUUCAUCCAACAGUAAGCUAGGCAGCAGGGUUUGUACCUUAUGUGGCGGAGGUUCUCGAGGAGGCGUAUGUCGUAGACGUCGGCGAGCCCCGCGAAGAUCACGACGCCGCGCAGGCGGUGCUGCUCGAUGUGGGCCAGCGCGACGUUCCGCUGGUGGUGGCGCUCCUCCUCCCAGGCGUCGUCGGAGUCGGAGGAGGUGAAGUUGUCGGCGUAGGUGAGGUGGCGGUAGAGCACCCCCGUGCGCCGGAGCAGGGCCGCCGUGGGAGCCGCCUCCCGCGCGGCCUCCACCACCAGCCACACCACGGGGGGAGACGCCAGCCGGAGCGCGUGCGCCGUGCGCGUCAGACCCGCCGACCGACGCUCGCGAUCCGACGACGAAAAGCCCGCCGUCGUCGUGAUGACGAUGACAACCACCUGCACCUGGCGCUGCUCCUGCUCCUGCCCCUGCUGCUGCUGCUGAGGCGGCUGCUGGUAGAGCAGCUGGUAGUGCGUCGUGAGCAGCGCCUCCGUGUGGUUCAUGGCGCGGGCCGCCCUCGAGAGUAGGUUCGUGUUGGCGUCGGCGGCGGCGCGGGAGGCGGCGUCGGCCCAGUCGGAAGGGGCGAGGCCGGUCACCAGGCCCACCAGGAAGCACGCGCAGGAAUGCAGCAUCGCGCGCCGCAGCACCAGCGGCCGCUGCUUCUUUUUGAUCUGCUUGCAAGUCGUCGGAUUGUGCUUCGGCGACGCCAUGGCGGAGCUAGUGUGCCAGUGGAAGUGGACUGAUAAAAUGAGGAUCGGCCGGGAUGGGGAUGUGUAUGCAUGACGACGACAGGUCGUCCUCGUUUCAUUGAUGGCAAACUGUACACGCACAUGCAUCGCUGCUCGACUGGGCCAGUCAGUCAUGAUUGGAUUGCAUUUGGCCCGUAUAACUGAACUGGGCUGCGUUCGUCCGUCGGCCUCGGCCCGUUUCAGCGCGCUCUCUCUCCCCAUCUCUCUCGCUCGUCUCGGCGGCGGCGGGCGGUGUCGCCUCCCCACUCUCCAGGCCAGGCCAGGCUCCACUCCCCACUCCUCCACACCCAUCCCAUUCCAUUCCAUCCCCAAAUCGAGCCGAGCAAACCCUAACCCUACCGCUAGCCACCAUGUCCGGCGCCCACAUCGACCUCAACAACAACGCCUCCUCCGACCUGGCUCCUCCGCCCAAGCGCGGCCGCGGCCGCCCCCGCAAGAAUCCCCCGGCCCCCGCCCGCCCGCGCCCUCCGGAUCCCGACGCCCCCAGGGUCGGCGGCUUCGCGCCGGGCGACAUGGUCUGGGGCAAGAAGCUCAACCACGCAGCCUGGCCCGGCCUCGUCUACUCCGCCGGCGGCAACGGCACCGGCCACGACGGCCAGCUCCUCGUCUCCUACUUCGGGGACAAGGCCUUCGCCUGGUGCGACGCCGCCGAGCUCAGGCCCUACGAGCCCUACUUCCCCGUCGCCGAGCUCUACGACGACGGCGGCGACGACUUCGACGCAGCCGUCGAGGCCUCCCUCGACGAGUUCUCCCUCCGCGUCGAGGCCGCCCUCGCCACCCCCGCCCGCCCCUUCGUCCCCGCCGAUUUCCUCGCCUCGCUCCACGACCUCGCAGCCGACCGCAUGGGCUUCACCAACAGGGUGCAGGCGGCCAUCGCCAAGGCGCAUCUCAGAGCAUUCGACGCCUUCAGGGCGCUGCCGGACCCUCCUCACUACACCUUGGAACUCGGCCUGCUCCCCCUCACUCCUAUCCAUCCUCCUCCUAAAUCCACCACCACCACCACCAGGGAUGAGGCCCCCUCCAGCAGGAGGGGCAGGAAGAGGAAGGAGGAAGCCGUCAAGGAGGACGACUCCGACGAGGACUGGGACCCUAGGAAGAAGGGGGCCACCGACUCCGAAUCAGACCUCGACAUCGACCGCAAGAGGGGCUCCAGGGGCAGGGGCAGUGGUGCGCCGCGCGGGAGGCCUCGAGGGAGGCCUAGGAAAACUGAUGCCUGCAGGGACACGCGGCUCAAGGAUGAGGAGAUGGAGGACAAACUGGAGUAUCCGUCAGCCGCUGACAUGCUGCUGCAACUCUUGUCGGUUGCUGCUGAUCCUGUCAACGCCAGUUACGACUCUGUUCCUCUCAUUGUUAGCUUCUUCUCAAAGCACAAGGACAACGAAGCGCCGAGCGUUUACCAAGAUAAAGAGCUGCUCGACACUUUCGGUUGCAAGAAGGGUAGGAAAAAGUCGGCUGGGAGCUUGGGCCCAGCUACAAAGGCAGAAGCCGACAACGAUAACGAACUGAUGGCUGCGGAUGGUCAGAGGGGCCGGAGAAAGUCCGCGGGGAGCUUGUACUCAGCUAGGAAGGCAGAAGAUUCGUAUUGGUGUGAUAUCAUCAUCAGCGAUUUCGAUGACGGAGAUAGUGAUUAUGAAGGUCGCAAAAGGAAGCGGCCCUCCCAGAACACCAACAGGAGUGCCAAUAAGAAGAUGAAGCAGGAGGAGACACCUCAGGAUCGGGCCUCUGCAGAUCCUCCCGCAGAUGCAAAAAGUCCGGCUUCUGCAGAUCCUUCUGCAGAUGGCCCAGCAGCCUUGAUUUUACAUUUUAGUAGUCCAGAAGCUAUUCCUUCUGUGGAUGACAUCAACAGCAUAUUCCGCAUACAUGGACCUAUCGUGGAGGGUGAGACUGAGAUCACUAAGAAGUCCAAGAUUGCAAAAGUAGUUUUCUCUAAGCGUGCUGACGCAGAGCGGGCAUUUAGCAGUCCGGGAAAGUAUAGCGCAUUUGGCCCAUCGCUUGUCACAUAUGAAAUUCAAUGCAUGCCAUCUGCGCCUCAGGUUUCUUAAGUGCUGCAGUCUGAACUUGAUAUGUUGCGAUUUCAGAGGUACAUGUUGUUUGACCGAUGCCAACUUUAUUUCCUGAUUCAUUUGCUUAUCGAAUUCUCAUAUGGUGAAUUCAGGAAAUGCACCAUGAAGGUUGGAGCAAUGGAGCAUUAAUUGGUGUCCAUGACUUAGAGUUAGGAUCGCUCACUGACCAGGUCACAUUAGUCACUGAGUUGGCUGAGCAAGUUUUAGGCUUUCUGCUGUUGCAUGCGUCCAGGUGACUGGUUGUGUGCUUGGUAUCGGAGUUAAUAGUUUAUGUUAAAUCAUUAGAUGGUAGAGUAAAUCAUGUAGCGUGAUGCGCCUCCUUCUAUGUUAGCACCUUAUCCUUUUUGUAUUGCCUAGUAAUUGCACAGCUGUGGAUCUCUCUAUUAUGUUGUUUUUCAGCAUAUGCUUCCUUUUCUGGCUCUUAAUCGCUUUAAUCCCCAUAGAGUAUUGUGCGUUAUGUGCCUUAGUAGCAGCUACUUAUUGAUUGUGCAAGGCUAGUUAAGUAGCUCUUGAGUUUCCAUGAUGAGCGAGCUGAAGCAUAUCUGAUAUGUUACUAUGCAAGUGCAUAUGCACAAUGGAUACGGGUGGGAGUGCACACGCUUAAAAGAGGCACUAUUCAGGGGCGUGCUUCUUUUUUAAGAUAAGUGUUCUUGUUGUGCUGCCAUUGAGCGUUGUGAAGCCACAGGUCCGAUUUACCAAUUUAAUGUAUAUGCUUGAUUUAUUGAAUGUGUCUGUCUUAUGGGUCAACUGCUUGCUGUGCAUUGCCAUUCUGCAAGUUAGCAAGAAGGUGACUUUGUUUAUGUACGUCAGUUUGCUGCAUUCUGCAAGGAAUUUGGACACGUACAGGAAGGUGAAGUCAGGCCUACAGCAGUGUGACCAACCAUGCUUUUGAUGCGUGUUGUGUUGCGACGUUGUUUGACGUUCAUUUUUAUCUCGAGAUUGUUGUGCAAAUGUAAACAUCCUGACAAUUACUGCAUCGUAUUUAUGCAUGGAUGAAAUUGGCGCGCGUAUUGCACUGUUUGGAGCAGAUAGAGGAGAAAAGGAAAAGGGGGGCUUUACUAUACGGGAACCACAACACGUAAUAAAGAAUGAAUCACUAUAUUUCUUUUCUUUUGUUUUUCUGUGGAUCACACCAUACCAUUGGCGUUUCAAAAAAAAAAAAAAGAACACAGGUAUUAUUGGCACUAGCUGAUCCAUGAAAGAUGAGCUGCCGGUUUCAUUGCUUGCUGCGCUUCUUAGCUUCACUGUAAAGAACCACCCCUAUGACAGUGAGCGUGUAGCCCAGCAUCCCAGUUACAGACACGGGGUUCUUGAAGAUGAGGAUGGAGAUCACAACUGCAACGGCACCUUUUGCGUUGCCCAGGACCUGCAGCCGGAUUAUAUCAUGCUCUCAGCAUCAGCAUUGCAUGCAUUUCCUUCCUAACCAAUAAACCAACUGAAUAGAAGGAAGGACGAAUCCACAUACCUGCAGGGUUAACGCGCUUGUGUGCUUUGUCACCAGGAAGUUGGUCAGAUUCACGAAGUAGGCCAAGGAAGAGUUGAAGAGCAGGUACCAGAUGAUGUUGAAGUCCUUCUUGGCCAGUUCCAUGGUGACGGCAACGACAUUAUCCUCCAUGAAGAUGGUUGCAGGGACCAGGAGAAUAACAGCGAUUGGCGCCAUGUACAUGAGCAGGUUCAUGGAGUUGAUCUUCUCCCUGCGAGUUGGGUUGCUUCUUCAGUACAGCAUGCAAGUUGGGAACAUAGAUAGCUGGUGGUGUGGUGGAUUGCCUACCCGUCGGAAGACAUGAGAAUCCCUUGCAGGACUGUCUUCAGUGCCCUUGCGGCGGUUGCUCCAACGCACAUGAUGAACCCAAACAGAUUGAAGCUGGGCUCUCCCUGCAAUCACAAGGAUGACCAGGUCAUUCGACUCAGGAUCGGACUCAGCUUUAGAGAUGAUGAAUGAUGAUCAGAGCUGCACGAUUCUAUUACAUCAGUUGCAAGCAUGUGUGUAUGAUGGCAUUGGCAGGCAGAAUGGUUUCCUCAUAUUGUCCAUCCAACAAGGCAAUGCGAUCAAAGUGAUGUGAGAAUUGCACGAUUCAGGUCAAUCUUUUUUGAGAAUUGAAAAUCAAGCACAGAUCCGGGAAUUGGGGAUCUCAUCUCGUGUAAUAAUUUGAUUGAUUGAAUGAAUGCCAACUUACGCCGCUGGCGAUGAUGACUCCGGUGACGACGGGCACGAGCGCGAGGUAGGUGAGCAAGGACUCGCGCUUGACGGUGAUGAGGUAGGCGAAGACGGCGGUGAAGAAGGGGGUGGUGGCGCCGACGGCCUGGUUGAAGGAGACGGGGAGGUAGCGGAGGGAGAUGUUGCCGGAGACGACGGAGGCGCAGAAGACGAGGCUGAGCGCGGCGAUCUUGGCGAGCUGGAGGCGGGAGCGCGGGAGCUGCAUGGGGACGAGGCGGAGCCAGGCGAUGGCGGCGUAGGAGAAGAGGGAGCAGGCGCCCAUGUGGCACAUGGUCAGGAAGAUGGGGUACUUGAACCCGUAGUUGCUCAGCAGGUACUUGUUCAGCAGCAGCACCCCGAUGUUGGAGGAGUACCACGCCGUGACGAGGCCCACCGUGAAGAGCCGGCCCUUGCCGCCGUCCUUGCCACCGCCGGUCAUCCUCGACCCUGCUUUAUCAGAUCCGGGGGUUCGGUUCGGCACUUGGGCCCUGCUGUUGUUUUUCAGAUUGUUCGCCGGGCGGGCGGGGGAAGAAGAAGAAGAGAGGCCGGACCCGGGACGGAGGAGGGAGAAGAGAGCCAGGGAGGAGGAAGGUGGAGGAGAGAGAAAGCAAAGGGCUGGCCCUUCUCGCCGUCUCCCUUUAUUUUCUUCUGUUUAUUUAUUUAUUUAUUACUGUUAUUACUUAGUAUAGUAUUAUUCUUUCGAUUUUAUUAAUGCUGUCUAUGGAUGGAUGGAUGAGAAAUCAUCCAUAGACCAUAGAGAUGGAUCCAUCCAUCCAUCAUCUGAAAGCUUCUUUGCGUGGAAGUGGGUGCACAAAACCUGCACUGCACGAGUUCCGUGGCAACCCAAAGAAUGAAACCUUUUUAUCUGUUGCCCAAGCGACAGCUAUUAAGGGACGGAGGGAGUACUUUCUGUCAAAAGGUGACAAUAUAACAUGAUUAACAAUAAACAUUAACCAUCGCGGUAGCAUCCUCAAUAAUUUGAUCGAUUCAUUCUCCAGCUAUCCUAUUGUAUCAAAGCUAGGUGGCUCCAGUCAUCACACAUCAUUUUUUUUCCUUUUCUGUUAGGUUUCACAGAUCAAGACACUUGGUUCUUGACAUGAAAUACAAGAAUUGGAGGUGACCUUCCCCAUAGAGAGAUACUUCAACCACAAAUGAACCUUCCUUUUGUGCUGUUCGCAGCAUGCAGUCAGUCCAGUGCCACAAAACACUUCUCCUUUUCUCCACGGCAACUAGAGAGGAUUAAAAAGAACACUCCAGCGGGUGUACGAACCACAAUCACCAAUGGACUUGCAAAACAUAAUCAAUAACAUCUCUUCCCUGCUACCUAAAAAAAUGGACAGCUUCCUCAACUAUGCUGUCAGCCAGGAAGCUUGUAGUUCGAUUCAAGCUUCACUCACAUCUGUAGGAUAGCUCCCAAGAACUCUUAGGAAAGUGGCGAAUUCCUGAGGAACAAAAUGAACCGAGUCACCAACUCACCACUUGCUUACCACAGUGCCAUAAAUAAAAACUGAUAAAGCAAUACCUUCAAGUUUCCAAGUGCAUUUUGAGCAUUUGGAUCAGCCAUCGAAGCCUCAAUAUCAACAUAGAAGAGGUAGUCAAAGUGCCUGGCUCAUCAGUGUGAAAAAAGGGUGAUAUGAGGGGAGGGGAUAUCUAGACAAGCAGUUUACAGAAAAAUCUCAGAUUCUGUAUUCUCAAAGAAACUUUAGUGAGUAGAUUAGUUCCUACUUCAGCGGUGCAGAGCAAUUGUCAUCAGCUACACGUAGAGGCCUUUUCUUGUGUGGACGGCUUUCCAUCUGCAGAACAUAACGUUGCAGCACUGAUAAAUUCUCUCUUUCGAAAAUGGAAAACCAACCAUCAGAGUGUUUAGGAAUGAAAAUUUCAAAGAUACCUUUGUGAGAUUGAUUUUCCGCAAAGCAAACACCGCAAGUGCUUUGAAGAGUUGCCCAGGUCCUUCUUCCAAAGAGAAGACAAUGCUAGUCUGGAGAUCACCAAUUUGUAUCAUUAAACUACCAAAGAGUGGAUCAUGAACACGUCAAAGAUUUCCUUCAUCUCGUACCUUGAAUGGCUUGUCUGUGCGAGGAAUAAUGGGUUCUCGAGCCAGCAUCAUAAAACGGGUGACAUUGUCUGUGUCAUCCUUUACAAGGAGUUAGGUCGCUCUUUCAAGAAAAUAAGGAAUGGUCUCAUAAAAAUUCAGUAGGAAACUUAGUAUACCUGGAUGUUUUCUGCUAGAAUAUCGAGUCCAUAAAGCUCAGCAGCUAAUGAACUAGCAACUGCACCAGUGUCUUGGAGCUUCUGUUCCGCAAUAAGCUAGAAAAGGCAUGUACGGAUAAUAAUUAACUAACAUCCAGAUAAUAGAUUCAGCGUAUCAGGUAAAAUGUACCUUUGCGGCGCCUGCCGUAUCAUCAACAGCUUCCCUAUGCUCAAUUCCUAACUUGGUGAGUGUUUGUUCGCAUUGUGCAAGAGCCUAAUUGUAAUAAUUGAUGCAUAGAGAGUGCAGCAUUAGUUUUUUUCUUUAAGAAAAAAGAUAAAAGGGGAAAAAAAGAGAAAGGUCUUAAUUACUUGGGGAUGGCUCAUAGCGCUUCGCAAGUUUUGAAUCUUGACUCCUGGAUUUGCCAGCAAGCAAUGGCGAACUGCAAGACGUACCUCACCAACGAUGUGCAACCUAUGUCGAAGUAGAAGGUCAUAGUUGCGAUGUAUGCUACCACCUAAGGAGUUCUCAAGAGGUAAUACUGCCCGAUCAGCAACGCAUCCUUCGACGGCCUGUGGUGUUAGAGAAGAUCGGGUUGGAUCGCAUCAUCAGCAGAACGCCAGAACCCUCAAGUAAGUAGAUGAGCAAGGGGUGUGUACCUGGAAGGCGGUCUCGAAGUACUCACAGGGCACGGUGUGACAGCUCGGGUAGGCCUUCCUGGCGGCCGCCUCGCUGUAGGCUCCGGGGCAACCCUAAACACUCGUAAUGAAUAAUUCCAAUGAUGCUAAAGAUAUCCUUAAUUGAUGGAGAAAGGGGUGAAGAGGUUGGCGACGGACCUGGUAUGCGACCUUCAACCCGUCCCCAGUCGGCUCCAUGAGAUCCGCGGUGGUGAGAGGCCCUGCUUGGUUCAGUCGCGCAUUUCAUCAUCAUGAAUUCAAUUGUUCAUAGAGAGGCGAGGUGAUCUUACGUGGCAGCGAGAUGGGGUCGCGGGAGGCCGGAACGGGCAGAUCGCCGGUGGCGGAGGCGGAGAUGGAGCGGCGGCUGGCGCGCAGGGGCAUAGAGAGGGUGCGGGGAGGCUGGCGGCGGGCUCCUCCUUCCCGUCCCGUGGGGGGGAUCGGGGGUGAGGACGCCGUGGCCACCAUCCUGUAUUCCUGUCCUGCUGGCUGCUGCUGCUCUGCCCUCUGCUCUCUUGGACUCCGGAAAUAGGCAAGUGGGGUUGGUUGGUGGCCUUCUUCCUCGGUUCCAUAAUCAUUUUUACCGGCUCGGCUCCUGUGUUCACGGAAGCCACCAUCGUGGUUCCUCCCGACUUGUACGUGACAGGAGCCGGAGCAUAAAGACGGCCUUAGUCAUAUCAGAAAGUGUUUUUGUUUUUCAGCUAUAUUAGCUGAAUGUUUAUGUUUAAACAAAUAAGUAUUUUUCUUCAUAUCCUGAGACGCUCUGCUUUUAUUUGAAUUUACUCCGAAUCCUGCGGCUGCUUUCUUUACCCUCCGCACCAAUCAAAGAUUAUUCAUCAGUCCAGGCAAACGUUUGUCAUCAUCAAUCAAAGAUAGAUGAGCAGAGGGCACCCGCUUAAUAAAUAGAUGGAUAGAUAAAAGGCUGGACCAAGCAAGGAAAGAACCAUGACAUUACACACUGCACCCUCAGCUGAAUAAAAUUCAGAAAUCACAUUACGCUAACCGUUCCACAGAAACACACAAAAGAUGGUCUGCCUCACAAGGCCGAACCAAUGUUUAUUACAGCCACCACACUCUUCUCUGGUUCGUAACAGUCUCGGGUGCCAAAUUGACAGAAUGGUAACCCCCUUUCCCUUGUCUGGCUGGAAGCACCUUACGCCUCAGCAAAUCUGCAAUCAAGAAAACAUAUCCACAUUACUGCUCUGCCAUCUGCCUUAGUGUUCAAGCAGUAGUAGCAAACAAGCAUUCUUCGUGGUCUGGACCUUCCACCACGACUUACCCCAAUUCAGAAAGCUUCAGGUGGGCCUCAGCAUAGUCAGCAAAGAAGGCGUCCUCAUCCUACAAACCGGGCAAAAUCUUCCAGGUUAGAACUUACAAGGGUGAGCUGAAAUCUCCAACAAGGUGCAAGAAUCAAACAUAUACCGCUGCGUAUUUCUCAACAAGCGGGCGGAAGGAUGGGUCAGAAAGGAGGGCUUUGUCACUUGGCAGCUGCAGAAGGCCUUCCUUCUCACCACUCAG